UACGGAGGGUGCAAGCGUUGUCCGGAUUUAUUGGGUUUAAAGGGUGCGUAGGUGGCUUAUUAAGUCAGUGUUUAAAGUCUGCAGCUUAACUGUAGGAAUGGCAUUGAUACUGAUGAGCUUGAGUAAAGUUGAGGUAGACAGAAUUGAAGGUGUAGCGGUGAAAUGCAUAGAUAUCUUCAAGAAUACCGAUUGCGAAGGCAGUUUACUAAGCUUUAACUGACACUGAGGCACGAAAGUGUGGGGAUCAAACAGG
rnacentral:rRNA from 1 species